UUCCGGUUGAUCCUGCCGGAGGUCAUUGCUAUUGGAGUCCGAUUUAGCCAUGCUAGUUGUACGAGUUGAGACUCGUAGCAGAUAGCUCAGUAACACGUGGCCAAACUACCCUAUAGACCCAGACAACCUCGGGAAACUGAGGCUAAUCUGAGAUACGAUUCUCCCGCUGGAACUGCAGAGAAUCCGAAACGCUCCGGCGCUGUAGGAUGUGGCUGCGGCCGAUUAGGUAGACGGUGGGGUAACGGCCCACCGUGCCAAUAAUCGGUACGGGUUGUGAGAGCAAGAGCCCGGAGACGGUAUCUGAGACAAGAUACCGGGCCCUACGGGGCGCAGCAGGCGCGAAACCUUUACACUGCACGCCAGUGCGAUAAGGGGACUCCGAGUGCGAGGGCAUAUAGUCCUCGCUUUUCACCACCGUAAGGAGGUGGUAGAAUAAGUGCUGGGCAAGACCGGUGCCAGCCGCCGCGGUAAUACCGGCAGCACGAGUGAUGACCGCUAUUAUUGGGCCUAAAGCGUCCGUAGCUGGCCGUGCAAGUCUAUCGGGAAAUCUGUGUGCCUAACACACAGGCGUCCGGUGGAAACUGUUCGGCUUGGGACCGGAAGACCAGAGGGGUACGUCUGGGGUAGGAGUGAAAUCCCGUAAUCCUGGACGGACCACCGGUGGCGAAAGCGCCUCUGGAAGACGGAUCCGACGGUGAGGGACGAAAGCUCGGGUCACGAACCGGAUUAGAUACCCGGGUAGUCCGAGCUGUAAACGAUGUCUGCUAGAUGUGCCACAGGCUACGAGCCUGUGGUGUGUCGUAGGGAAGCCGUGAAGCAGACCGCCUGGGAAGUACGUCCGCAAGGAUGAAACUUAAAGGAAUUGGCGGGGGAGCACUACAACCGGAGGAGCCUGCGGUUUAAUUGGAUUCAACGCCGGG
rnacentral:rRNA from 1 species